AACGAACGCUGGCGGCAGGCUUAACACAUGCAAGUCGAACGAACGUAGCAAUACGUGAGUGGCGCACGGGAGAGUAACACGUGGGAACCUACCUUUUGGUUCGGAAUAACGUCGGGAAACUGACGCUAAUACCGGAUACGCCCUAUGGGGGAAAGAUUUAUUGCCAAAAGAUGGGCCCGCGCUAGAUUAGCUUGUUGGUGAGGUAACGGCUCACCAAGGCGACGAUCUAUAGCUGGUCUGAGAGGAUGACCAGCCUCACUGGGACUGAGACACGGCCCAGACUCCUACGGGAGGCAGCAGUGGGGAAUAUUGGACAAUGGGGGAAACCCUGAUCCAGCCAUGCCGCGUGAAUGAUGAAGGCCUUCGGGUUGUAAAGUUCUUUUGGUGGGGACGAUGCUGACGGUACCCACAGAAUAAGCUCCGGCUAACUUCGUGCCAGCCGCCGCAGUAA
rnacentral:rRNA from 1 species